GGAGGGGUAGGAUAUCUUUAAUCCGGUGGGCUCAUGACCCAAUGAAGCUAAGUGGCCCCCUCUU
rnacentral:tRNA from 1 species